AGAGUUUGAUCCUGGCUCAGAACGUACGCUGGCGGCACGCCUAACACAUGCAAGUCGAACGAAGUAGCAAUACUUAGUGGCAGACGGGUGAGUAACAUGUAGGUAUCUGCCCUUUGGCCUGGAAUAACACGAGGAAACUUGUGCUAAUACCGGAUAAGUCUUUACGGAGAAAGCUUUAUGCACCAUUGGAUGAGCCUGCACUUGAUUAGUUUGUUGGUGGGGUAAUGGCCUACCAAGACUGUGAUCAAUAGCUGAUUUGAGAGGAUGAUCAGCCACAUUGGGACUGAGACACGGCCCAAACUCCUACGGGAGGCAGCAGUGGGGAAUCUUGCACAAUGGAGGAAACUCUGAUGCAGCGAUGCCGCGUGAGUGAAGAAGGCCUUUGGGUUGUAAAGCUCUUUCGUCGGGGAAGAAAAUGACUGUACCCGAAUAAGAAGGUCCGGCUAACUUCGUGCCAGCAGCCGCGGUAAUACGAAGGGACCUAGCGUAGUUCGGAAUUACUGGGCUUAAAGAGUUCGUAGGUGGUUGAAAAAGUUGGUGGUGAAAUCCCAGAGCUUAACUCUGGAACUGCCAUCAAAACUUUUCAGCUAGAGUAUGAUAGAGGAAAGCAGAAUUUCUAGUGUAGAGGUGAAAUUCGUAGAUAUUAGAAAGAAUACCAAUUGCGAAGGCAGCUUUCUGGAUCAUUACUAACACUGAGGAACGAAAGCAUGGGUAGCGAAGAGGAUUAGAUACCCUCGUAGUCCAUGCCGUAAACGAUGUGUGUUAGACGUUGGAAAUUUAUUUUCAGUGUCGCAGCGAAAGCGAUAAACACACCGCCUGGGGAGUACGACCGCAAGGUUAAAACUCAAAUGAAUUGACGGGGACCCGCACAAGUAGUGGAGCAUGUGGUUUAAUUCGAAGAUACGCGCAGAACCUUACCAACACUUGACAUGUUCGUCGCGACUUUAAGAGAUUAGAGUUUUCGGUUCGGCCGGACGAAACACAGGUGCUGCAUGGCUGUCGUCAGCUCGUGUCGUGAGAUGUUGGGUUAAGUCCCGCAACGAGCGCAACCCUCACUUUUAGUUGCCAUCAUUAAGUUGGGCACUCUGAAAGAACUGCCAGUGAUAAGCUGGAGGAAGGUGGGGAUGACGUCAAGUCCUCAUGGCCCUUACGUGUUGGGCUACACACGUGCUACAAUGGUAUCUACAACAGGAAGCAAGACGGCGACGUUAAGCAAAUCCUUAAAAGAUACCUCAGUUCGGAUUGCACUCUGCAACUCGAGUGCAUGAAGCUGGAAUUACUAGUAAUCGUGGAUCAGCGUGCCACGGUGAAUGCGUUCCCGGGUCUUGUACACACCGCCCGU
rnacentral:rRNA from 1 species